rnacentral:misc_RNA from 1 species
CCGAGUUUACAACUCCCAAACCCAAUGUGAACGUUACCAAACUGUUGCCUCGGCGGGAUCUCUGCCCCGGGUGCGUCGCAGCCCCGGACCAAGGCGCCCGCCGGAGGACCAACCAAAACUCUUAUUGUAUACCCCCUCGCGGGUUUUUUUUAUAAUCUGAGCCUUCUCGGCGCCUCUCGUAGGCGUUUCGAAAAUGAAUC